AGUAAAUAGAUACCCCGGUAGUCCACGCCGUAAACGAUGAGUACUAGGUGUAGGAGGUAUCGACUCCUUCUGUGCCGCAGUUAAACACAAUAAGUACUCCGCCUGGGAAGUACGGUCGCAAGAUUAAAACUCAAAGGAAUUGACGGGGGCCCGCACAAGCAGCGGAGCAUGUGGUUUAAAUUCGAAGCAACGCGAAGAACCUUACCUAGACUUGACAUCUCCUGAAUAGUGUAGAGAUACAUGAAGCCCUUCGGGGCAGGAAGACAGGUGGUGCAUGGUUGUCGUCAGCUCGUGUCGUGAGAUGUUGGGUUAAGUCCCGCAACGAGCGCAACCCUU
rnacentral:rRNA from 1 species